GACGGGGGCCCGCACAAGCGGAGGAACAUGUGGUUUAAUUCGAUGAUACGCGAGGAACCUUACCCGGGCUUGAAAUGUGCAUGACGGGAGGCAGAGACGCCUCCUUCCUUCGGGCAUGCAUGUAGGUGCUGCAUGGUUGUCGUCAGCUCGUGCCGUGAGGUGUCGGCUUAAGUGCCAUAACGAGCGCAACCCCUUCCGCCGGUUACCAUCGGGUCAUGCCGGGGACUCCGGCGGCACUGCCGCCGCAAGGCGCGAGGAAGGCGGGGAUGACGUCAAAUCAGCACGGCCCUUACGUCCGGGGCCACACACGUGUUACAAUGGGGGGCACAGCGAGCUGGACCAGGGCGACCUGGUUCGAAUCAUGAAAUCCCCUCCCAGUUCGGACUGGAGUCUGCAACCCGACUCCACGAAGCCGGAUUCGCUAGUAAUCGCGCAUCAGCCAUGGCGCGGUGAAUGCGUUCCCGGGCCUUGUACACACCGCCCGUCAAGCCAUGAAAGCCUGGGGCGCCUGAAGUCCGUUGCGGCGACGCGCGGCCGAGGGCGAUACAGGUGAUUGGGGCUAAGUCNUAACAAGGUAGG
rnacentral:rRNA from 1 species